UCCGGUUUGUCACCGGCAGUCCCAUUAGAGUGCUCAACUGAAUGUAGCAACUAAUGGCAAGGGUUGCGCUCGUUGCGGGACUUAACCCAACAUCUCACGACACGAGCUGAGGACAGCCAUGCAGCACCUGUGCAUCCUGAUAUUGCUAUCUCGUCGGGCUUUCACCCUCCUACUAAAUGCAUGUCAAGGCCAGGUAAGGUUCUUCGCGUUGCAUCGAAUUAAACCACAUACUCCACCGCUUGUGCAGGCCCCCGUCAAUUCCUUUGAGUUUUAAUCUUGCGACCGUACUCCCCAGGCGGAAUGUUUAAAGCGUUAGCUGCGCCACUAGUGAGUAAACCCACUAACGGCUGGCAUUCAUCGUUUACGGCGUGGACUAC
rnacentral:misc_RNA from 1 species